rnacentral:rRNA from 1 species
UACGUAGGGUCCGAGCGUUGUCCGGAAUUACUGGGCGUAAAGAGCUCGUAGGCGGCCUGUCGCGUCGACCGUGAAACCCGCAGCUCAACUGCGGGCUUGCGGUCGAUACGGGCAGGCUGGAGUUCGGUAGGGAGACUGGAAUUUCCUGGUGUAGCGGUGAAUGACGCAGAUAUCAGGAGGAACACCGGUGGUGUAGACGGCUUACUGGACCAUAACUGACGCUGAGACACGAAAGCGUGGGUAGCAAACAGG